rnacentral:rRNA from 1 species
UGGGGAAUAUUGCACAAUGGGCGAAAGCCUGAUGCAGCAACGCCGCGUGCGGGAUGACGGCCUUCGGGUUGUAAACCGCUUUCAGCAGGGACGAAGGGUUUCUGACGGUACCUGCAGAAGAAGCACCGGCUAACUACGUGCCAGCAGCCGCGGUGAUACGUAGGGUGCGAGCGUUGUCCGGAAUUAUUGGGCGUAAAGAGCUCGUAGGUGGUUUGUUGCGUCGGAAGUGAAAACUCAGGGCUUAACCCUGAGCCUGCUUUCGAUACGGGCAGACUAGAGGAAGGUAGGGGAGAACGGAAUUCCUGGUGGAGCGGUGGAAUGCGCAGAUAUCAGGAGGAACACCGGUGGCGAAGGCGGUUCUCUGGACCUUUCCUGACGCUGAGGAGCGAAAGCGUGGGGAGCAAACAGGCUUAGAUACCCUGGUAGUCCACGCCGUAAACGGUGGGCACUAGGUGUGGGGGACAUUCCACGUUCUCCGUGCCGUAGCUAACGCAUUAAGUG